GACGAAGGAUGCAAGCGUUAUCCGGAUUCAUUGGGUUUAAAGGGAGCGUAGGUGGCCUUAUAAGUCAGUGGUGAAAUCUCUCGGCUUAACCGAGAAAUUGCCAUUGAUACUGUAGGGCUUGAGUAUAGUUGCCGUUGGCGGAAUAUGACAUGUAGUGGUGAAAUACAUAGAGAUGUCAUAGAACACCGAUUGCGAAGGCAGCUGACGGAACUAGAACUGACACUGAGGCACGAAAGCCAGGGGAGCGAACGGG
rnacentral:rRNA from 1 species